ensembl:lncRNA
GCAGGAAGUGAUGUCACUCUGCGCUGCAGACAGAGUAAUGGUGACAUCAUCACAGCCUAUUUCCUCUUUAAUGGAAGUCUUGUUGGAAAUAAAAAUAAAUCAGAGUUCAUCAUCACAAACGUCCAGCAGUCUGAUGAAGGUCUCUACUCCUGUGCUACUGAUGUGUUUGGAGAAUCUCCUCCGGGCUUUCUGAGGGUCAGAGGUCAGAACAAUGACAUCACUUCCUGUUUAAAAACAUGAACUAACCUGAGCUGAAAAUAAACAGGCUGAACCAUCUUCAUCAUGUCUCCUACAGAUCCUUCUGCUCAUCUCCACACCCGCACCUCCUCUAAUCCUGUGAACUCUCCUGCUCUUGUUUCUCCUGUAACAGACUCCUCCGCUCCUCCCUCCUCCUCCUCCAUCCUCGUUCCGGUUGUAGCAAGUCUGGUUUCCGUGGUUCUUCUGGUUUUGGUGGUUUGGGGAGUUCUCUGGAGGAAACAGAAAGCAGCGCUCCACUCCUCCUCUCCUGUACAUGUGAACUGCAGUGACGUCACCAUCACACAGAGAGACAACAGGAGAGGUAAAAGUCCUGAUGAUCCAGAUGUUAUCUACUCUGAUGUGAGGACUCGCACUUCAGGCCCUGAUGAUGUUGUUUACCGUGAGGUGAUCUUCAGAAGGUAGAGGAAAGCUGGUGAGACAACAGAGCAGUCAGCUGAUCCAGGUGUUGUGCAUUGAUUGAGAGCAGGAAGCUGAGGACACACUCGGUCUGAUGGACGACCUUCAUCCUUCACUCUGCUCCUCUUCUUCUCUUUGUGUCUCCUGAAACUCAGUUAUUUGAUUGUUCAUCAUGAAGAGCUGCACAAAACAUUUUAAACUUUUUAGGAUUUUCUGUUUCUAUGCAGAUAUGAUCUGAUGGAAAAUAUAAAAAAUAUAUAUCAAUAACAUUUAAACAAAUAAAUCAUUCAGUAAAAUGAGCCUCAGUCUCAGGAUGUUUUUAAUAAUUCAGUUACACACAGACAGUCAGUGACGGCUCCUCUCCUCAGCUUUCCUGCUGCCAUCAGAUGCUUGUUGUUGGAAAUCUCACUCCUCAUGCACUGGUAUGAUCAGCACUUGGUGACAGUAGGAAGGAAGAACUCCCUUUAACCUGAAGAAUGUUUUACUUUUAACAUCUUUCUGUAUGAUUGUCAGUGUUUUAUGUUACUGCAUGAUUGCUUUUCUUUCAUCUUUCAAGUCUCAUGUAUUGAAUAAAAUCCCCGAAACCCAUAAAAUAAAAUCAUGUCUGAAAAUUUAUCAGUCUCAUAAUUAAACACAACACCUGUGAAUGCAGAUGUAGAACCUGGAGCUACCUUUAAUGGUUUUUUACAAAGAGAACAGGUGGUCCCACACUGAGUGGGAAAGGUGAA